rnacentral:rRNA from 1 species
GACGAACGCUGGCGGCGUGCUUAACACAUGCAAGUCGAACGGAAAGGCCGCUUUCGGGGGGUACGCGAGUGGCGAACGGGUGAGUAACACGUGAGUAACCUGCCCUUGACUUUGGGAUAACGUCAGGAAACUGGGGCUAAUACCGGAUAGGAGCUCCUGCUGCAUGGGGGGGGUUGGGAAGGGUCGGCGGUUGGGGGUGGGCUCGCGGCGUAUCGGCUUUGUUGUGGGGGUGUGGCUUACCCAGGCUUUGACGGGGAGGCGGCCUGCGAGAGUGAUCCGGCACAACGGGACAGAGACGCGGCCCAGGCUCCUGCGGGAAGCAGCAGAGGAGGAUAUUGAACAAUGGGUGGAAACCUGGUGCAGCAGAGCCGUGUGCGGGAUGACGGCACUCGUGUUAUUAAGCGACUGCGCUCAUUACUAAGCUUUGUGUGACGGUAGUGGGUAAAGAAGCACCGGCUAACUACGUG